UUUAAUACAUGCAAGUCGAGCGAGAAAGUUUCUUCGGAAGCGAGUAAAGCGGCGAACGGGUGAGUAACGCGUAGGAAUCUACCAUUCAGCGGGGGAUAGCUCGGGGAAACUCGAAUUAAUACCGCAUAUACCCUAUGGGGGAAAGAAGGCCUCUCCUUGGAAGCUUUCACUGUUUGAUGAGCCUGCGUGAGAUUAGUUUGUUGGUGAGGUAAUGGCUCACCAAGGCUACGAUCUCUAGCUGGUCUGAGAGGACGAUCAGCCACACUGGGACUGAGACACGGCCCAGACUCCUACGGGAGGCAGCAGUAGAGAAUAUUGGACAAUGGGGGCAACCCUGAUCCAGGCAUGCCGCGUGUGUGAAGAAGGCCUUAGGGUUGUAAAGCACUUUAGGUAAGGAAGAAAAGUUAAUUGUUAAUACCUUUUAACCCUGACAUUACUUACAGAAUAAGGACCG
rnacentral:rRNA from 1 species